rnacentral:miRNA from 1 species
CGGCAGAGUCGGAUGAGCCCUC